rnacentral:lncRNA from 1 species
AUAGAUCAGAAAGAGAAGAAAAACCUAAUGUGGAUGAGGCCUAUGAGCUGUUUACUGUUUUCUUUUGUCAGCUUAUAAUAGUUGAUGUGUGUGCGAAUGUGAGGACAACUCAGAAAUUUUGUCGGGGCAGUUUGGGAACGGGAGGGCAGAUUGGUCAACCAAAAGAAGUGGUGAAACACUGGAAGCAAGCCUAGACCCUAGCCCUAGGUCCACAAGGAGGAGAACAGCUGCUGAGAGAGGGAAGGGCGUUGAGACAGCUGGCGAUGACGAAGAUUUGGGACGCGGAAUCUCUGGCC